CACGUAGGGGGCGAGCGUUGUCCGGAUUUAUUGGGCGUAAAGAGCUCGUAGGCGGUUUGGCAAGUCGGGUGUGAAAUUUCGAGGCUCAACCUCGAAACGCCACUCGAUACUGCCAUGACUGGAGUCCGGUAGAGGAGUGCGGAAUUCCUGGUGUAGCGGUGAAAUGCGCAGAUAUCAGGAGGAACACCAACGGCGAAGGCAGCACUCUGGGCCGGUACUGACGCUGAGGAGCGAAAGCGUGGGUAGCAAACAGG
rnacentral:rRNA from 1 species